rnacentral:rRNA from 1 species
AUUGAACGCUGGCGGCAGGCCUAACACAUGCAAGUCGAGCGCGCGGCGGACGGGUGAGUAAUGUCUGGGAAACUGCCUGAUGGAGGGGGAUAACUACUGGAAACGGUAGCUAAUACCGCAUACCAUCAGAUGUGCCCAGAUGGGAUUAGCUAGUAGGUGGGGUAAUGGCUCACCUAGGCGACGAUCACUAGCUGGUCUUAGAGGCUGACCAGCCACACGGGAACUUAGACACGGGCCAGACUCCGACGGGAGGCAGUAGUGGGGAAUAUGGCACAAUGGGCGCAAGCCUGAUGCAGCCAUGCCGGGUGUGUGAAGAAGGCCUUCGGGUUGUAAAGCACGUUCAGCGGGGAGGCGUGACCCGCAGAAGAAGCACCGGCUAACUCCGUGCCAGCAGCCGCGGUAAUAC